rnacentral:rRNA from 1 species
GUAUCAUGGCUCAGAUUGAACGCUGGCGGCAGGCCUAACACAUGCAAGUCGAACGGUAACAGGAAACAGCUUGCUGUUUCGCUGACGAGUGGCGGACGGGUGAGUAAUGUCUGGGAAACUGCCUGAUGGAGGGGGAUAACUACUGGAAACGGUAGCUAAUACCGCAUAACGUCGCAAGACCAAAGAGGGGGGACCUUCGGGCCUCUUGCCAUCGGAUGUGCCCAGAUGGGAGUUAGCUUGUUGGU